GCUUGGUGACCUGGUCCAGUCUCCUGAACCACUCCAGCUGUGCUGCAGCCCAGGGACUGGAGGUCCCUGGGAAGAUGUGCGGUGUGGGCCUGAAGGUGAAGUCCUGUGGCCGGGCCUGGGGGGGCGGCUGUGAAUGCAGGAGGUGAUGCCGGGGUCCGGGCGAGGUAUGCCUUGUUGGAAUUGACAUUUUCACUGGCAGAAAACAUGAAGAUAUCUGUCCCUCUACUCACAACAUGGAUGUUCCAAAUAUUAAGAGAAAUGAUUAUCAAGGUGCAGUUCCCUCCUUUUUGAGGUUUCCAUUCAUUAUCCUUUGAAGGACUGGAUUUGUGGAAAGAUCCAUUAAUGCAUCCAAGAAGAGUAUCAAGAAAGCUUUCUCACUGAAGAUAUUCACUGAGGACAUCGCAACCUGUGACUGUAUAUGUGAAUACAAAACCAAAACUGAUAUUUCAAGUUCAUGACUAGGAGUGACAGGCAAUUUGUAGAAUAAUGGAAGAGGGAGACAUAGGAGGGUAGAGGAGAGAGAUAGGAUGAAUUUUUGCAUAUGGUAAAGCUAAGUGGAUAUGGCAUGCACCCAUGUUUAUAUGUGAUAUGAAGAAAGCAACAUGAAGCAAGAUUGAUCCACAUGCUAAAGCAGAAUAAAGAAAAAAUAUUUUUUCUUUUUCUAAGAUGACUGAAAGUUACAUCAGGUAGUUGCACCAUCAUACAUUUCCAUUCCAGGUGCUUCUCAGCCAUUCAUUAUUCCUCAGUUGAGAAUUCUUUGUUUAGCUCUCUGAGUUCAAUUCCCAUCAAAUACAUGAUAGAUCGCAUCCAUCUGUAAUAGGAUCUGAUGCCCUGUUCUGGUGUGUCUGAAGACAGGACAUCCUGUAGUAAUAAGAGAAAAAGGCCCCACAACACAGGGCUUAUUCAUCAUUUCUUCCAAUGAGACAUCGUGCAAAAAGCUGAAGGAAACAUUGGGUUCUAGGGAAGAAGUGGAUAUAAAAUAUCACUCAGUCCAUGAAGUGGCCUGGAUCCUAAAGAUUAGACAUGGUUGCAGUGUGGUAAGAAACAU